AUGACGAACAAUCGCGAUGACGUCGCCGCGAUGGAUAUCCUUAGCUCGAUCAAGAUGGCCUUCGACCACGCCAGAGGAGAUCGUAAGAUAUCCGACGUGAAAGUCAUCAGUUAUUCGCCGAAGAUAUCCCGAGACCUCAUUGCGCCCUCCUACGAGAGCACCAGCCAUAGGAGCUUCACCGCUGAGUUUGACCCCGUUCCCCCCUUGCAGGUCGUCUUGAACUCUUCGGAAACCACUUGCGGCCUCGCGCUGCACAAAGAAAUUCGCACGGAGGUUACACCGAGUCUUCUGAAGAAGAUUCUGAAGUACACCGAGAAAGCCAAGAGCAUCGACCCAACGAAAGAGCUCGCCCUUGAGGGCAAGCUGAGCGCGAUGACCGAAUCCGUGACCUCGAGCAGCAUCAAACAGCUGAAGUCGAGUUGUCCGUCGAUGAAAACUCUCACGCUCCAAAACUUCAAUCUGCGAGCGAAGCAGAAGAAUCGUCGAGCGCGUCUCGUGGACUGCCCUCCCGACCUAGAGCUGCUGUCACUCCGAAAUUCCACCUUCGAGCCGAAGACCUUCUUCGCGAAAAUGGAUCAAGCUAAGAUGAAGAAAUUGAAAGUUCUCGACGUGGGUCGAGCUAUCUUCACGCAAAAAACAACACGCAUUAUAGUAACAGAGACGGCGGCGCGCCCGAGGCUCACUGGCCGAAGCUCGAGAAUUUGAAGGAGCUCUACUUGGAGGGAGUUCCUCAAGUGAAAUCCGCUCCGUUCCUCCGACGUUUGCUCACAAACUUCCCGAAUCUAGACGUUCUGGAUCUUGAAGGUACUCAGCUGAACGAAGACGAUGUCGUUGCAAUCGCCCAGCUCGUGCCCAAUCUCCGGGAACUCUACCUGGGUCACACUGGACUCAGAGACACGUCAAUCAUGCAACUGGUGUCCAGCGGAUGCCUCUUCGAGACUCUGCAAACCGUCUGCUUGUGCGAAACCAACAUCACGGACGCUGGCCUCGAGACCCUGGUCAGCGUGUGUCCAUCGCUGCGUUCGGUCACCGUGAAGCGCUCGCUGGUUAGCAGCAAAACCGCAGAGGCUUUGCAGGCGCUCCUCCCCGGUCUCCAAGUCAACCGGGUCGCCGUGACCCACAUUCUGGCAGUGUUCCCCGAUCAGGGCUGCGAUCACUUCAGUUUGAAGCACGAUCUCCGCAACGGGAAAGAAAAUAUUUAAAUUCUCCUCCAAAUUAGGUAGCUCGACGUCCAUCUUGUACAAAAAGAACGGAAGAGCCGGCGAGAAAUUGAGUCCCGAACUCGCAUUGUAAAAAUUAUAUCGACCACAGAACUCGGUCGCUGAACCCAUGUAAAUAAGGAAUAUAUGUCGAACGGUUGUAGGAUA